rnacentral:rRNA from 1 species
UACAGAGGUCUCAAGCGUUGUUCGGAUUCAUUGGGCGUAAAGGGUGCGUAGGUGGCGCUGUAAGUCGGGUGUGAAAUUUCGGAGCUUAACUCCGAAACUGCAUUCGAUACUGCGGUGCUUGAGGACUGGAGAGGAGACUGGAAAUUCAUGGUGUAGCAGUGAAAUGCGUAGAGAUCAUGAGGAAGACCAGUGGCGAAGGCGGGUCUCUGGGACAGUUCCUGACACUGAGGCACGAAGGCCAGGGGGGAGCAAACGGG